GGCAGCGUAGGAAGCGGCGCCAUAAGUAACCGAGUCUCUGCGCCCUUCCUUUUUCUUCCUCCCCACAGAGAAGUGGCGGAAAAGGAGGUCGGCAAUGGCGCCGCCGGCUACGAAGGCCGUGCUGGGCGAGCUCAGGGUCUUCGACCUGGACGUGGCGGAGGGCGAAGACGGGGACACUGUAGCUGAGAAACGCGAUCCAGAAGGAUACCGUGGUCAACGGUAUCAAAAGCUGCUGAGAGGUCCAGGAGGACGAGGAAGGUGCACUCACCGCUAUCCAACGCUCUCCUCAUAUCAUCCACCAAGGCGACCAAGGCUGUUUCAGUCCCAUGUCCAGGCCUGAAGCCCGACUGAAAUGGAUCCAGAUAAUCCGCUUCCUCCAAAUGCGCUUGCAACUGUUUUGCCACCACCUGCUCAACCGCCUUGCCCAAGAAUGACUGAACUCUGGAAUAUAAUUAAGAUGGAAUGCAAAUAAAAUACAAUAUCUAAGAGAAAAACGUCACAGUGGAAAUGUUCCAUUUUCCAUCUCUGAGGUGGAUUAGGAUAGGAGCCCUCAAAGUGAAAGGAGAUGAGUCAACCACUGAGAGGAUUCUUCUCAGCAGCUAACAGACUCCCCUUACAUGCUGAUUGGGACGUCUGUUGUUGUGGGAGAAGCCAUGUGUGAGAAGGACUGAGGAGUGUGGAGAUGAUUACGGAAAACAAGCAAUGGUGGAACUUUGCACGUUGUACAGGUUGGAAGAGAGUGACCUUGCGGAAAGAAUAAUAGUUUUCGCUCUGACGAAGCAAUCUGUUCAUCUCACACUCGAUUCUCUGAACGUCUUCGAAAAUGAACCUGCAAGAUGCUUGUAAAUAAAAAUAAACUUUGCCAGCAACUCCCAAGCCCCCCACCAUCCCCCUCACUGCGCUGUUGCUUAGGGGAGACCUUGGAGCACAAGAAGCUGUGUUGGGCCUGGGACCAGUGUUGUGAGAUCCUCCGAUAUGUGAACAAGGCAGUAAAGCUGGCGGAAAACCAGCAGCGCCUGGAUGCCACCUCUCUGGAGCGGACCAGCAGCCCGCUGGCAGCGGAGUUCAAGGUAUGGCCUCUCCUUUGCCCUGGGCCUGAGUUCCUGCCUCUGUACUGCUCUUCCCUUCCUCAAAAUACUGCCUUUCUCUGCUGCCCAGAACCUUGACCUCCAAAGCCGGCGCAUGAUCCACGAGGGGCCCCUGAGUUGGCACAUCAGCAAAUAUAAGACUGUGGGUUCAUGGCUGAUACUCCCCACCCCAGCAUACACGGCACAGUACAGGUCUCUCGGAGGGGGACAGUCUCUCUCUGUGUGUUCUUCCUCUGUAGUUGACUUUGUUACUCGCAUCCCACAUUUCUGUCAAAAUGGUGGUCAAAGCAGGGAGGCGUCAUGGCUUAGUGGUAGGAAGGCUCUUGAGUCUGAAACCCUGCAGAGCUGCUGCCAGUCACUGUAGACAGAGCAAGCUUGAGCUAGGUGGGCCCAAGGGACUUUGUAUGAGGCAGCUUCCUGUGUUCACCUUACAAAAAGAUGUACAGAGCAAAGUAAUUUUGAAACAAAAUCCCUAAAAAUAAAUAGUGAACCAGCUGUUGAAACUUGAAGAUCUCCUGGUGCUUCUGCAACGGCAGGCUGAAAAGGUGGUUCUGAAGUGCCACAGCAAGAUGGCGCAGGGUUCCUCGGACACCAAGCAGACAUUCAGCCCUGUCCUCAAGCUUAACGAGGUCCUCAUCCGCUCCGUAGCCACAGGUACAGGAGAGGACUCGCUGUGCGCCUGGUGCUUGAUCCUGGAGAGCCCUACUUUGGCCUGCACUACAGGCCAGGCAGCUUUGCCCCAAGUCCCUGAGUAGGAAGCAAAGAGUUUGCUUGACUCAGAGUGGUUAGGACAGGAAGAAAAGGUUUCCACGGUGCAUUCUCCCUCCUUCCUUUAAAAGAAAAGAGUCCUCAGGUCCUGCAGGCUCCUUGUAGGCAUAAGAACAUAGCAAGAGCCCGGCUGCUGGGCCAGGCCAAAGGAGGCCCAUCUAGUGCAGCCUCCUGUUCUCGCAGUGUCUGACCAGACGCCCCAAGGGGAUGCCAGCAAGCAGGACCUGCGAGCAACAGCAGUGCUCUCCCUACCUGCGAUUCCCAGCAACUGGGACUCGGAGGCAGUAGCCGUGAAUGAAUCCGUCUAACCUAUUACAGCCCUCCAAGUUGGUGACCAUCCCUGCCUCUUGUGUGAAUGAAUUCCAGAGUUGAGCUGUGUGUGCAGAAGUCCUUCCGAUUGUCUCUCCUGAAUCGCCCAAGGUUCAGCUUCCUUGGAUGACUCCAGUAUUAUGAGAGGGAGAAGAAAACUUCCCUCUAUCCACUUUCUCUGCAUUAUGCAUGAUUUUACACCAGUCAUGUCCUCCCACCACCUAGCAUAGCAGCCAGAAUGAUGAGGAUUAUUUGGGUCUUCUAGGUCAGCGUAACUGAACUUCCAAGACUAAACUCAGGAACGUUCUUGGGCGAGAAAAAGAUUUCUUUGAGGGCAGGAGGGAAUACCUGCCCAGGAUAUAAACUCAUGUAUCAGAGGAGCAUGAAAAGACUUUUCCCUACUUUUCCAUGUUUCCUCGUUUUAAAGGUUGGAAUCUAAACAAACAGGCCAGCCCUGGUUUGUUGUCCCUUCCUCCAUCUUGCCUCUCUUCUCUGUUCAGAUAAACGAGCUCUCUUCAUUAUUUGCACAUCUGUAUUGGGACCCCAGAUCUACGAGCUGGUUGCUUCAACAACUUCAGAAAAAAUAUGUAAGAUUUUUACCUGCUUGUUGUUUUUCAGCAGGAGAUGAAGAAGGUAAUGAGUCUGCAGUGAUGAGUCAGGAAGGGCACACAGGCUGCUGAGGGGGAAGGGGAGGGUGGGGAGUUUGUUUGCUUAUUACACUUAUAUCCCACCUUUCCCCCAAAGACCUCAAGAUGGUGUCCCCCUCCUGAUAUUAUCCUCACAACAACCCUAUGAGGUAGGUUAGGCUGAGAGAGACAGUGACAGGUCACCCAGUGAGUGGGGAUUUCAACCCUGGCGUCCCAGGUCCCAAUCCAACAGGCCUGCCCUCAGGAGGACUUUGAGGGGGAUUCCAGAUGGGGAGGGGCUUACAUGGCAAACGGGUCAUCCAGAUCGGAAUGUUCUCUGUGUAGGGGUGUGUGGCACGUUAUCUUCCACACUUUCCUGGUUUUUUGGAGUCAUGGAUAUUUGUUGCUAUUCCACUGCUUGCUGUCUGUUCCUGUGGGUGGACCUGGACAGAAUGCAGCCUCAAUUGCUCCUCUCCCUCCACUUCCAUUUUCCAUUUAAAAAAAAAAGUAUGGGAUGGCAUUCUGAUACCAACGGUGUCAAGUGUUUCUGUAAGUCACUUUGAGUUCACCUUUGUGAGAAAAGCAACUAAUAAAAUAAUCAUAAAUAGAUGCUGUAAAAACUUGCGUUUUGCAAGUUGACCUUACUUGUUUUUACUUUUUGUAAAUUGCUUUGAUGUUUUUAAUGAAAUUGUGGUGUAGAAAUAUAUUUAUAAAUAUUUGUUUAUUUAUAAAUGAGCAGCACUGGUUCCACUAUUCCAGGGAGGGCCUGGAAGGACUCUCUGCCUGAAACUCUGGAGAGUUGCUGCUAGUCAUUGUAGGCAAUACUGAGCUGAAUGGGCCAAGGGUCUGACUCGGGGGAAUGGUGCUGCCAAAGUUGCUCUUUGUGCAGAGCUUGCAGGUGCCAGACCACGGCACAGAUUUAAGAAACUGAAGUGGGCCAGGGUGGUGUCAUUGGGUUAAGUCCAAGAAGACCUAGAUUCAAAUCAUCUGGCGUGAAGCUACUUUGGUGAUUCUGGGCAAAUUGUUACCCUACCUCAUAAGGUUGUUGUGAAGGUACCAAGGGAGAACUACGGCGGCUCCUUUGAGCGCCUUACAAGGAAGCUGGAUGUAAAUGUAAUAAAGGAGUUGGAGCUUGCAUCAUGGAUGGAACAAAGAUGUCCCUGGAACUGCGUCCUGACCUGGAUCACUGUCUCCCCCCCCGCCCCCCGGCGGUUGUUCUUUGCAAAAGUUUAAAGAGAGCAUCUCUGGCACCAAACCUGAUUUUGUAGAGUGGUGUAAGGGGUUAGAGGGUUGGGUGAAGACCUGGGUGCCCAGAUUUAAAUCCUUACCUCCAUGCAUCUCACUGGUCACUGAUUCUCACUCUAACCUACCCUGCAGGGUUGUUGUGAAGAUAAAAUGGGGAGGGGGGAAAACACGUUAUGCCAUCUCGAGCGUCCUGAUGUAGCUCAGUCAGCCCCAGCCUGCGUGGCCCAUUGUAGGGGGAUGAUGGAAGUUGUAGUCUAACCACCCCUGGAGGACCAUUGGUUCCACAUCCCUGCAGUAAGUGACCCACUGAGCUUCAUGGGUAAGCUGGGAAACUGAGGGCCUAAAAAAUAUGAGUUAGAAUAAGCAGGGAUGGGGAACCUGCUGUGGCCUUCCAGAUGGUGCUGGACUCCAGCUGUCAUCCGCCCCAGCCAGCAUGGCCAAUGGUCAGGGGUGAUGGGAGUUAGAGUAAACUGUAAAGGUACACAAGCUCUGUCCUCCAUGUUGCACCACAGCUUGCACGGUUACAGCUGCCACAUAAUAUUCAUUCCAUGCUUGUAAGAAAUAGUUCUUUUAGUGUGGCAGCUUUGGAACUCCCUGCUUAUUGAUGUCGGGAAGGCGAUUUCCCUGUAUUCUUUUUGAUGCCUGCUUAAAAGCUGAAUGCUGGAAGGGUCAGGACAGAUGAAAGAAAGUGCUUCUUCACGUAGCAGAGCAGAAUUAAGACUAUGGAAUUCACUCCCACAAGAAGCAGUGACAGCCACCAGCUUGGAUGUCUGUAAAAGGGGAUUAGACAAAUUCAAGUAGGAUAAUGGCUAUGCUCUGCCCUCCACUGUCAAGGCAGUCUGCCUCUGACCCAGGACUGUAGUUAUCGAGGCUAUCGGGGAUUCCUAGAUACCUUGUUUUUGGGGGAGCAGGGUCUCUAUAUCUCCAGUAUCCUAUGGGUCAAUCAGCAUGAAAGAGGAUGGUGUUAGCCGCUGAGAAGAGUCUCCUAACCUGCUUCCUUGUCCUUUCCUGCUGUUUGGAGCAGGAGUGAAAGGAGGUGAGUCAGCCACUGAGAAGACUCUUUUCAGUAGCUAACACUCUGGUGCUGAUUGGCUCCUAGGGAGGAGGCAUUUACAAGGAUCUCAUUCUCAACCCAGCAGCAAAAAGGGAGGGUGGUGGCUGUGACUAUGAUGAAGAGACCCUGCAUUUCUGAAUUUGCCACUAUGCUACUGCUCUGAACAUACUACUUGCUUGCGAUCACAAGUCGGAGGAGAGAGCUGCUGUUGCAGUCAGGUGAGGUCCUGUCUUUGAGCUCCCCAUGGUCCUGGACGCAUCCGGCUGGGCGCUGUGAGGACAGGAUGCUGGACUAGAUGGGCCUGAUCCAGCAGCCAGGCUCUCUCCAUGCCUGCAGACAGUCGAAUUGAGUUGAACCGGGAAGGCGGUGGGGCGGGCUUGCUCUGCCGGUCCCUGCUCUUUCCCUCCAGGGAGCAGCAGAGGGAGCUGGCCUGUGCCCUCACGCAAGAUGGCGGCAACUGCGUCGCUCCUUCCGCUUACCCUGGAUGGGCGUUGAGGGCGGAAGUGCCUGGCGACAGGAGGAGAGCUGUUGGGGCGAGAGACCCCAGGAGACGCGCCCCAGCACGGACUGUUAUACGGCAAACUGGGACCCUCUCGGGGAAGAGGCUUAUUACCGGAAACUAGAUGUGUACAUCAUGGGCUGGAACCUGAGGGAGGACUUGCGAGACUGCUUGGUUGCUGCUGCUCCCUGUGGGGGCCCCAUUGCUUUGCUGAAAACCAAGAAAGAAAAAUCUCCCAGUUCCCGGCCACCUCUUGAAAUCUGUUUUGCCUCUGGGGUCCUCUUGGCUAGCAUUCCAUGGAAGAACUGCCCGGCUGUGCAUCUUGGCUUGACGACCAGCAAGGACCUCCUCUGCAUCCAAGAGGAUGGCUCAGUCCUCAUCUACAGCCUUUUCUGUGAGUUCAAGCGGCGCUUCAGCAUGGGAAAUAAACCCAAGGUGGCUUACAUGUGGUUCCCAGGCAGUCUCCCAUCCAGGCUUCCUUCCCUCUCUCUACAGUGUGGACAUGGGCUAGCUGCCAUUUCUGGGGCUUGGGAGGAAUUUUGGAGGAGCCCCUGACUUGAUCUCGGGACUCUCUUUUUUCCUCCUACUUUGCACUGUAUGGCUUAGUUUGGUUUUGAUUCUAUCCAUUUCGUCUGUUUGGCAUCCAGUGUGGGAAAGUAAGGCCUCAAUUUGACACUGAGGCAUUUGUGGGUUGGGGGGCACUCUGGAGUCAUCAGCGACAGCCUGAGGCUUCGGGGUUACUUAGGGGUGCCCUUGGGGCCUGUCGUGCGCACCCUGGUGAAAGCAUGGAAAACAGGGCUCAGGUGGGCAUGUCAGCUUCAGAUAUUCAAGGCUCACUUAGCAAGGAGGGAGAGGUUUCUCUCAAUCCAUUUCCUGGAGAGCCACCAGCGCCACUGCUUACAUGCCCAGGUAUGCUUCCCUCACAGACCUUGAUUUAACUCCAUUUUGCCUGUACUUAUCUUAUUGGCUUCUUAUUGCAGAUCUUUCAUGUGUUAAAUUUAAAUAAAUAUAACUU